GACAGAGGGUGCAAACGUUGUUCGGAAUUACUGGGCGUAAAGCGAGUGUAGGCGGUCUACUAAGUCGGAUGUGAAAGCCCUUGGCUUAACCGAGGAAGUGCAUCCGAAACUGGCGAGCUAGAGUACUAAAGAGGAUCGCGGAAUUCCCGGUGUAGAGGUGAAAUUCGUAGAUAUCGGGAGGAACACCGGUGGCGAAGGCGGCGAUCUGGGUAGAUACUGACGCUGAGGUGCGAAAGCGUGGGGAGCAAACAGG
rnacentral:rRNA from 1 species